rnacentral:rRNA from 1 species
GGGGGGGGCAAGCGUUGUUCGGAAUUACUGGGCGUAAAGGGUUCGUAGGUGGCCCGCUAAGUCACACGUGAAAUCCCUCAGCUCAACUGGGGAACUGCGUGUGAGACUGGCAGGCUUGAGGGCAGGAGAGGAACGCGGAAUUCCAGGUGUAGCGGUGAAAUGCGUAGAUAUCUGGAGGAACACCGGUGGCGAAGGCGGCGUUCUGGACUGUCUCUGACACUGAUGAACGAAAGCCAGGGGAGCAAACGGGAUUAGAUACCCCGGUAGUCCUGGCCCUAAACGAUGAAUGCUUGGUGUGACGGGUAUCGAUCCCUGUCGUGCCGCAGUUAACGCGUUAAGCAUUCCGCCUGGGGAGUACGGUCGCAAGGCUGAA